GGGGGAGGGCAGGAUCCUGGGCUGUGUCCGCUGGUGCCCCGGGAUCCAGGGCCUGUGCUGCUGGAAUCAUGCUCCCGGGGCCACAGCCCCU
rnacentral:pre_miRNA from 1 species